rnacentral:rRNA from 1 species
UACGUAGGGUGCAAGCGUUGCCCGGAUUUAUUGGGCGUAAAGGGCGCGUAGGCGGCUCGGCACGUCCGUUGUGAAAUCGCCCGGCUCAACCGGGCGGGGUCAGCGGAUACGGCCGAGCUUGAGCAAGCUAGGGGGCAAUGGAAUUCCCGGUGUAGUGGUGGAAUGCGUAGAUAUCGGGAGGAACACCAGUGGCGAAGGCGGUUGCCUGGGGCUUUGCUGACGCUGAUGCGCGAAAGCGUGGGGAGCGAACAGG